AAUCAAUUCUUUAGCCCAAUAACAGGAGGUGCAUAGGUUAUGAGGAGAGGUAUGGCAAGCAGAAAACUAAGCUUGAGCCUCAAUUAGAGGCCCAAGGUAGAAACACCAAACUGAACGGUCCUCACCUCCUACCUCUUCACUCCGCGUUUCAGCGAACGGAAGAACAAACCAAGUCGCGAUGGUCGCGCCGGAAUUUGGCACCGGUGGCGGAAAGCCCCUCCAAGGACACACUCCAUCCUAACCUCCGUGUCCAGCAUCUUCACGAGGUGAAGAUCAAGCCACGACGGCGAAUCUAGCCGCGACGGAUUUCGUCACCGGCAGCGACGAUUCAAGCCUUCACGCCACUCUCUGUGUCUGCUCACCUAACCGAAACACAACCUCUCACCUAACCGAAUCGAUGUUACCGCGCGAUGGCUCUUCGACGGAAUGCACCGAAUGUAGAAUGGAAACAACAAGAGAUAUAAUUAUGAGCGUUACACCACCUCACACGAAUCAAUCAGUGAGAAGAGAAGAGAGAGCCUACCGGCAAUGGCGAAGGCGGCAGAUUCGUCUGUGAUGCCGAAUUCGAACUCAGGUGAUACCCUUCUUCCCUCCUUCUAUUACGGUCGUGAUUAUGCGUGAUUCAUGGUUCGAUUUGUAGAACGGUUGCGGUGCGGUGAGUUGAAGAGGUUGAAGAUACGCCGGUGAUGAUGAGGAGGAAAAGUUUGUUACGGUGGAGGCGAAGGAAAACUUCUAGGAAAGAAAGAAUUCUCGAGCGAACCCAAGCUACGCUCUACAAUCCUGUAUUUAUAGAAUUUCUUGGAAUGAAUUGGUAAAUCCUUUCAAUUGUAGAUUUCGCUUCAUUCUCCUUUUGCGUUUUGCUUUUCCUGUGCGGUUUUGAGGUAGCUCACAUUUCUUUAUAAUGCAAUUCAUUUUGUUUUUCAUUUCCGUUUUGGCGCUUUAGCAGCUGCGUUUGAAUUGAGUUUUGCAGGUGUGUCUCGUUUCCGUUUUGGUGCGCUUUGAUGUCGUAGUUGUUGUCGUUCAUUCAGAUGCAUUUCCCAUUUGCCGUUUUCCACUUUGGUUCGCAACUUUGAGAGCUGUUGUUUUGUACAUGGCUUUUAGCUUGUGUAGCAGUUGCGUUUAGCAGGUUUUGGAAGCCUUUUUGCUAGCUUGUUGUGGUGGCUUUUUCAUAUGGUAGCUUAUUGGCUUAGCUUCUUUUCACGCGGCUUGGUGUAGUUCACGCUUGUACCAGCUUUGUUAGCAGUUUUUCCAUGUGGUAGCUUAUUGGCUUAUGCAGCUCAUGUUUGGAAGCUGCACUUGCUUAACUAUGGCCUAUUGCCGUUUAGCUUCUCUUGGAGUCGUUUCCAUUUGCAUUUCCACUGCAACUUUUGAAGCUUGUUGGAGAAUUGUAAUUUCUUAUUGUUUAAUGGAAAAUGAUGACUCAAUAAAAAAUGGUUAUGGAUUUAAAAUGGAUUAAA